ACAAGCGGUGGAUGAUGUGGAUAAUUCGAUGCAACGCGAAAACCUUACCCACCUUUGACAUGUACGGAACCCUUUAGAGAUAGAGGGGUGCUCGAAAGAGAGCCGUAACACAGGUGCUGCAUGGCUGUCGUCAGCUCGUGUCGUGAGAUGUUGGGUUAAGUCCCGCAACGAGCGCAACCCUUGUCAUUAGUUGCUACAUUCAGUUGGGCACUCUAAUGAGACUGCCGGUGACAAGCCGGAGGAAGGUGGGGAUGACGUCAAGUCCUCAUGGCCCUUAUAGGUGGGGCUACACACGUCAUACAAUGGCUGGUACAAAGGGUUGCCAACCCGCGAGGGGGAGCCAAUCCCAUAAAGCCAGUCGUAGUCCGGAUCGUAGUCUGCAACUCGACUACGUGAAGUCGGAAUCGCUAGUAAUCGUGGAUCAGAAUGUCACGGUGAAUACGUUCCCGGGUCUU
rnacentral:rRNA from 1 species